UGUGAGACAGGUGCUGCAUGGCUGUCGUCAGCUCGUGUUGUGAAAUGUUGGGUUAAGUCCCGCAACAAGCGCAACCCUUAUCCUUUGUUGCCAGCGGUCCGGCCGGGAACUCAAAGGAGACUGCCAGUGAUAAACUGGAGGAAGGUGGGGAUGACGUCAAGUCAUCAUGGCCCUUACGACCAGGGCUACACACGUGCUACAAUGGCGCAUACAAAGAGAAGCGACCUCGCGAGAGCAAGCGGACCUCAUAAAGUGCGUCGUAGUCCGGAUUGGAGUCUGCAACUCGACUCCAUGAAGUCGGAAUCGCUAGUAAUCGUGGAUCAGAAUGCCACGGUGAAUACGUUCCCGGGCCUUGUACACACCGCCCGUCACACCAUGGGAGUGGGUUGCAAAAGGAGUAGGUAGCUUAACCUUCGGGAGGGCGCUUACCACUUUGUGAUUCAUGACUGGGGUGAAGUCGUAACAAGGUAACCGUAGGGGAACCUGCGGCUGGAUCACCUC
rnacentral:rRNA from 1 species